GACGAACGCUGGCGGCGUGCUUAACACAUGCGAGUCGAACGCUGAAGCUCAGCUUGCUGGGUGGAUGAGUGGCGAACGGGUGAGUAACACGUGAGUAACCUGCCCUCUUCUUUGGGAUAACGCCCGGAAACGGGUGCUAAUACUGGAUAUUCACUGAUUCUCGCAUGGGGGUUGGUGGAAAGGUUUUUUCUGGUGGGGGAUGGGCUCGCGGCCUAUCAGCUUGUUGGUGGGGUGAUGGCCUACCAAGGCUUUGACGGGUAGCCGGCCUGAGAGGGUGACCGGUCACAUUGGGACUGAGAUACGGCCCAGACUCCUACGGGAGGCAGCAGUGGGGAAUAUUGCAUAAUGGGCGAAAGCCUGAUGCAGCGACGCCGCGUGAGGGAUGGAGGCCUUCGGGUUGUAAACCUCUUUCGCUCAUGGUCAAGCCGCAGCUUUGGGUUGUGGUGAGGGUAGUGGGUAAAGAAGCGCCGGCUAACUACGUG
rnacentral:rRNA from 1 species